CAGGCACAUAGAGAAUAAAGAGCCA
rnacentral:piRNA from 1 species